rnacentral:rRNA from 1 species
UACGUAGGGUGCGAGCGUUAAUCGGAAUACUGGGCGUAAAGCGUGCGCAGGCGGUUUUGUAAGUCAGAUGUGAAAUCCCCGGGCUCAACCCGGGAACUGCGUCCGAUACUGGCAGGCUUGAAUCCGGGAGAGGGAUGCGGAAUUCCAGGUGUAGCGGUGAAAUGCGUAGAUAUCUGGAGGAACACCGGUGGCGAAGGCGGCAUCCUGGACCGGUAUUGACGCUGAGGCGCGAAAGCCAGGGGAGCAAAGCGGG